rnacentral:rRNA from 1 species
UAGGGAAUCUUCGGCAAUGGACGGAAGUCUGACCGAGCAACGCCGCGUGAGUGAAGAAGGUUUUCGGAUCGUAAAGCUCUGUUGUAAGAGAAGAACGAGUGUGAGAGUGGAAAGUUCACACUGUGACGGUAUCUUACCUGAAAGGGACGGCUAACUACGUGCCAGCAGCCGCGGUAAUACGUAGGUCCCGAGCGUUGUCCGGAUUUAUUGGGCGUAAAGCGAGCGCAGGCGGUUAGAUAAGUCUGAAGUUAAAGGCUGUGGCUUAACCAUAGUAGGCUUUGGAAACUGUUUAACUUGAGUGCAAGAGGGGAGAGUGGAAUUCCAUGUGUAGCGGUGAAAUGCGUAGAUAUAUGGAGGAACACCGGCGGCGAAAGCGGCUCUCUGGCUUGUAACUGACGCUGAGGCUCGAAAGCGUGGGGAGCAAACAGGAUUAGAUACCCUGGUAGUCCACGCUGUAAACGAUGAGUGCUAGGUGUUAGACCCUUUCCGGGGUUUAGUGCCGUAGCUAACGCAUUAAGCACUCCGCCUGGGGAGUACGACCGCAAGGUUG